GUCUAGUAUAAGCACUUUAUACUGUGAAACUGCGAAUGGCUCAUUAAAUCAGUUAUCGUUUAUUUGAUAGUACCUUACUACAUGGAUACCUGUGGUAAUUCUAGAGCUAAUACAUGCUAAAAACCUCGACUUCGGAAGGGGUGUAUUUAUUAGAUAAAAAACCAAUGCCCUUCGGGGCUCCUUGGUGAUUCAUAAUAACUUAACGAAUCGCAUGGCCUUGCGCCGGCGAUGGUUCAUUCAAAUUUCUGCCCUAUCAACUUUCGAUGGUAGGAUAGUGGCCUACCAUGGUGGCAACGGGUAACGGGGAAUUAGGGUUCGAUUCCGGAGAGGGAGCCUGAGAAACGGCUACCACAUCCAAGGAAGGCAGCAGGCGCGCAAAUUACCCAAUCCCGACACGGGGAGGUAGUGACAAUAAAUACUGAUACGGGGCUCUUUUGGGUCUCGUAAUUGGAAUGAGUACAAUCUAAAUCCCUUAACGAGGAACAAUUGGAGGGCAAGUCUGGUGCCAGCAGCCGCGGUAAUUCCAGCUCCAAUAGCGUAUAUUAAAGUUGUUGCAGUUAAAAAGCUCGUAGUUGAACCUUGGGUCUGGCUGGCCGGUCCGCCUCACCGCGAGUACUGGUCCGGCUGGACCUUUCCUUCUGGGGAACCUCAUGGCCUUCACUGGCUGUGGGGGGAACCAGGACUUUUACUGUGAAAAAAUUAGAGUGUUCAAAGCAGGCCUUUGCUCGAAUACAUUAGCAUGGAAUAAUAGAAUAGGACGUGCGGUUCUAUUUUGUUGGUUUCUAGGACCGCCGUAAUGAUUAAUAGGGAUAGUCGGGGGCGUCAGUAUUCAGCUGUCAGAGGUGAAAUUCUUGGAUUUGCUGAAGACUAACUACUGCGAAAGCAUUCGCCAAGGAUGUUUUCAUUAAUCAGGGAACGAAAGUUAGGGGAUCGAAGACGAUCAGAUACCGUCGUAGUCUUAACCAUAAACUAUGCCGACUAGGGAUCGGGCGGUGUUUCUAUGAUGACCCGCUCGGCACCUUACGAGAAAUCAAAGUUUUUGGGUUCUGGGGGGAGUAUGGUCGCAAGGCUGAA
rnacentral:rRNA from 1 species